rnacentral:rRNA from 1 species
AUGACCCGACAAACCGGCUGCGGAUCUGCAGGUUCCCCGCUGCGCCUCUCCGAGCCGCCUGCCCUCCGCAUAGGGCCUCCAACAAUUGGAAGAAGAGCGCAGUUUGCUGCCCUUGGCAGCCACAUCAUAGCCACAAGCCCCUCCGCCCAUGAAAUACCCCACGUACAAGAGGCCCACGGCAGUGCCACCCUCAUCUUUGAUACGAAGACAUCUACGCUUACUACGUCAAAUAUUUUACCGCAAGGUCUAGAAAACUGCUAUGAUUCAGCCAUAGCCGUCAGGAACAGACUAUAUGUGUUCGAAUCAUACAGCGACAACAACGACGGCACCGACGGUUUAUAUUAUUUUGGGGGCUUCCACUGCCUUUCUGCGGAUCCGGACGAUGAUGAGAGGGACUGGACUUGGCGACCCUUGUUCAAUUCCUCGCGUUUCUCUUGGAGCUGGGCUAAGUUCGGUGGCAGUCCACCUGACUUUCCGUUUGAUCCCAAGUUUAUCACCUCGCUUGCCGUGCACCCGCGGACGGGCACCAUCUUUGUUUCCGCUUGUAGGCGGGGGGUCUGGUGUACAUUGUCCUACGGCACGAGAGGUGGUGGCCAGUGGAAGCGCCGUGGUAAUUGGGUGCUGCCAUUCAAAGGCCCUGCCCACUAUGAUGGUUUGCUCGACGCAUGGGUCGGGCUCCACCUCCAUUCCGCUGACACGGUUGAUGCUGAGGGGUACCUUUGUGCAUGCCACAUCAUCUCUGGCCGGCAGCCGCCAAAGAGGAAAGUGGGCAGGGAGCAGCUUUUUCUCAAGCAACCACACUGGAGACAUCUCGAUGCAAAACUCGUUUACAUGGGUGAGGGCAGUAAGUACUGCCUCGUGGAGCACCUCCGACCUGAGGGAGCGGACACGAUGAAGUAUGUGCUUCGUGUGACCACAUUCAUUGUCAAGUAUGGCAAGGACGGUGAGCUCACGACCAUGGCUCACCGGCCUGCUCGCUUCUACAAGGCGCCCAGCUAUGACGUGCAAGCGUUUUGGAUGUAG